UUUAAUGGCAAUAUUAACGUCUUUUUGAUACAUAUGUUUGGAACUAAAAGACAAGCACAUUCAUGUGGUAUGUUUUAAUCUUUGUAUUGAGCAAGAAAAAAAUUGAUAAUAUUAAGAAGCAUUAAGCAUAUAUUAUAGAGAGUUUAAUCAUAAUUUUCAAUAUUAUCUAAAGAAGAGACUUAACCAUAAAAUAAAAACAUGGUUGUAAAAAAAAUAAUAAUAUGUCAAAAAAUAAGUUUAUCAAGCUAUAAUUGAGACCAUAUAAUUAAAAUCUUGUAUAAUACAUAGUAAAAAUCCUCUUGUUAAAAGCUUCUCUUUCUAAUGGAUGUUUGUUUAGAAUCUAAAAAUUACAAAGCCUUUGCUUUGAUAGAUUUAGAAGCCUCAACUUACUUUUUAGAUAAAGACUUUGUUA
rnacentral:lncRNA from 1 species